GUGGCUGUAGUUCAGUCGGUAGAGCACUAGAUUGUGAUUCUAGGUGUCGUGGGUUCGAGCCCCAUCAGCCACC
rnacentral:tRNA from 1 species